ACAACGCGUGGCUAUGCGAGCAUGGCUCUACCUCCUCUUCGGAGCCGGCUGCGGACGCUAGGGCCUCUCUCCCUCCUCCACGGAAUGGUUGGCUGUCAGGGAAGCACAUGGGCCUCCAUAUCCCGGCGGAAUAGGUCAGCUUGGUUCUCACGAAGGAAAGGGCCUCCCAGCAGGUGACCCAGGGUAGCCAGAAUACCCAGCUCCCUCCUCAUCCCUGGAGCUGGGGAGACCUCUGAGACCUAGACAUCCCCGUGUGGGGAGAAGAGGCCAGUCGGCUUGGCUGUGGCCAAGUGGGACUGGGACCAGGAUAAGAUCUCCUGGGCUCAACCAAGCGGGCUGAGCUGGGCUGGUUCCUGGGCAGGCUGUGAGCUGCCCCAGGCAGGCCCCCGGCCGGCUCUGACCCGGGCCCUGCUGCCCCCUGCUGGAACUGGGCAGACGCUGUUGCUGCAGGCUCUGGUGUACGACGCCAUAAAGGGCAAUGGGAGGAAGAAGUCACCCCCAGCCUGCAGGAACCAGGUGGAGGCCGAAGUCAUUGUCCACUCUGACUUUAGUGCAUCUAACGGGAACCCUGACCUCCAUCUCCAAGACCUGGAGCCUGAGGACCCCCUGCCUCCGGAGGCUCCUGAUCUCAUCUCGGGUGUUGGGGAUCCAGGGCAGGGGGCAGCCUGGCUGGACAGGGAGUUGGGAGGGUGUGAGCUGGCAGCCCCCGGGCCAGACAGACUUACCUGCUUGCCAGAGGCAGCCAGUGCUUCCUGCUCCUACCCGGACCUCCAGCCAGGCGAGGUGCUAGAGGAGACCCCUGGAGACAGCUGCCAGCUCAAAUCCCCCUGCCCUCUAGGAGCCAGCCCAGGCCUGCCCAGAUCCCCGGUGUCCUCCUCUGCCUAGCUCUUCCCAGAGGGUGUGGUUUGGGGCAGGCAGGUAUGGAUCACAUAGGAUGCGACACCUGUGGCCGUGUAUGUCCACAUGUGUGCCUGUAGAUACAUCAUCAAGCCCUUUGGAGCUUCCUAAGGUGCUUUGGCUGAGGGGAGAGGAAAACAUGGAUUAUUCACUCCCCCCAUACUCUUUGUGAUACACAUGUGACAUGUGAAAGUCAUACGAGACAUAGCUACAUGUGAUGUGCACAUGUGUGAAGUGCAUGUAUGCGUACUGGUUGUUGAGCUGGGAAACCGUGGCCCAGGCAGUGGUCACUACAGCCUGAUUGGUCCUCCAGGUCAGAACGGUGCCCCACAGUGGUCAGUCCCCAGCCCUGUGGGCCCCCACCUCCAUCGCCCAGCCUUUUAUUACACACUCUGAGAGUGUCUCCAAUGCCUGUCUGACAAAGACAGUCCCAGCCCAUUCUCCUGUCUGGCUGGGUUGGGUGCAAGCAGGCUCCGAAUGCCUGGCAUUUCACCUGCAUCACCUCCCAGCUCCUUAUUGCCCAAAUAGAGAGGGUGGCCCUGGCUCCCCUCCGAGCAACUCUGCAUUUAAUUUUGUAAUCUGGGAAGUGCCUGGUUUUGAAAAUCCGCUUUCUCUCACUCUUCCCCUCCUUCCUUGCCCCUGGCUGCUCUAGUGUUCUGUCUCCCAGUCACCUCGCUCUCCCAGCACCAGUGCCCUUCUCCUGCUCCCAGAUACUCUUUCCUUUCCCCUCUCCUGUUUUCCUUCCUCUGCUAUCUCUCACACCUCUCCCAGACUAUGUCAUCUUGUUCUCCUGCCUGGGUUCAAACUCUGCCUCCUUCUCUAACAACGUGACUACCUCAUGUCUGCUUCAAGGCCCCCGUGCCCUUCCUGUAUCCGCGGCUGCCGUGCACUCGCCUGCCAUCCUCCUGCCUCCUCUUCACUCAGUGCUUCUGCUUGCCCUGCCCCAGGCAGCCCGCCCACGCCCAGUGCGGGUGUGGAGAAGAUCUUCUGGCUUCCCUGCAUCUUGCCUUUGGGAUUGGGAUCCAAGGGUUCUCCAUGGAUGGAUCCAAGUCAUAGAGGGGAAUGUUUGAGACAGGGAAGGGGACUGUGAUCCAGAGGCUCAGAAUAAAAAGAUGCCCUCCCUUCUAUGCAGGGGGGCAAGUUUACUGGAUGGAGAUGAUUUGGGCCUUUCUUCCAGAAGAAGCUAAAGGAAGAGAAGGGGAGUGAGAGUUCAGGGAGGCCCUUCCCACCCUGUGAGGCUUGACUUGAUCUGGAUUGGGGAUGACAGGAAUCUCACCCUCUGGGGUGCUGGCAAGGAGGUCUUUGCACAGGAAAAGGGGUAGCUCAUUUCAGUUUGUUUUUUCUUUAAAUUGAAUCCUCAAGUCAUUUUCUGUUCACCUGCCGCACAGGGACAAGCUUGACUUCUAUUUUCUGUGUAGUGAAAACAAUGUCAUUUAUUUGGUUUUUCACCUCAGCCCUCUCAUAGGAGCAUAGAAUGUUAGGGUCUUUACUCCCUAAUGAUGUCUGAUUGGCACAUCAAGAGUUAACUCUGCCUUCUGGGCCAAAUUCGAAAUAACCAGUCCAUUUUUCCUUUUUUUUUUUUUUUUUUUUUUAAAUGGUGGAAUGUCUCUCAGCACAGUUGCGGCUUCCUCAAACCCUGAAAGCAUCUGUGUUUAUUAUACUCGGGUGUCACUCACUGUUGAUGUCUGCACCUACGUUUCCACCUCCUCCCCCUCCUUCAGCCAGCCUAUGAUAACACUAAAGAUUAUUAAUGUUGGUUUUGUAUCUCGUUAAAGACAGAAUUGUCACUUGUAGUAUUUCUGUAGCAUUCAGCGCUGCUGUGGCUAACACCACUGUGUAUGUUUCAUCAUUGCUCUGAAGGUCAAAAGCCUCAUUUUAUUUUGCUGGUUUGAUUUUUUUUUUUAAAGAAGAAAAAAAAACUGCCCUGAAUUAAAUGGCUGUUUUAACAGUAGGCUCUUAGCAUUAUACCACAUAGUCAUUUUUCAUGUUCUUGUUUAACAGGCACUGAGGUUCUGGUUUAAAUUAAAUAGCUGCAAAUGAGACAAUUUAUAACCCAUUAGGUUGGGUGGAAAAUUGUUUCUCAAAAGCAAAUAAGUAAUAAAUCUGGUAUCUGCCUAUAACUCACAGUUGAUAAGAAAGUGGCCAUUUCUCACUAGCAUUAUAUAUGAUUUGGGCUCUGGGUAAUUUGGAAGUGUUAGGUUUGUGUCUUUGUAGCAGUAUUUUUAUUAGAAAAGAAUCUAUUGGCCUUUUACAGGGUAUUAAUCCCUUUGUCACCUACCAUUGAUGCCUUAAGUUUUCUGAGUCUCAAUUAAAAAUCUUCCUUUUCUUGAUGCAUGACAAGUGUAAUCAGUACUUGCUCAUUUAUUUGUCUGUAUUUAGUUUAUGCUGUACUAUUUAAUUAUCCUUCCAGCGUUUUUUUUUUCUCCUUACAAAUAUGAUACUCUUUAGUGUUAAGCUAAGGCAUUGAUUCAUGUAUCUGUCCUUAUAAUGAAUUAAUAAACUAUUUUCCAG
rnacentral:sRNA from 1 species